GUAGAAAAAGAGGUGGACGCUGAGUGCAUUUGCACUUGGAGGAAAGUCCGGGCACCAUAGGGCGCGGUGCCGGCUAACAGCCGGUCAAGGCGACUUGAAGGAUAGUGUCACAGAAAAUAAACCUCCGCUAUGCCGAUACUUGCGACCGAUGUUUCGUCUCCUCUGGGUAUCGGAUCACCAAGCGGAAAGGGUGAAACGGUGUGGUAAGAGCACACCGCGCAUUUGGAGACAAAUGCGGCACGGUAAACCCCACCCGGUGAAAGGUCAUGGGGAAAUCUGGGACGAAAGUUCCACACGCUGCCCGCGUGAUAGAUUUCUAAGGAGACCGCUCGAGGGCAUUGGCAACAAUGCUCCCAGAUGAAUGUCCAUCCAUCGCUGUUCAGCAAUGACAGCGCGGACAGAACCCGGCUUAUUACUUUUCUACGACA
rnacentral:RNase_P_RNA from 1 species